rnacentral:tRNA from 1 species
GGAGAUAUGCCUGAACUAAAGGGCUACUUUGAUAGAGUAAAAAAUAGGGAUUUAGCCCCCUUAUCUCCU